GUGGGCUUUUCCCCCCUCCAAACAUAUGCAUAUCUGAAAUUCAAAUCGAGUGCUCCUUACCUCGUGCACUCCUCCGUACCUCUAAUGAGGUGGAAAAAUGUCCAUUAAUGACGGAACGUUAUUUAGUGCCGAACAGAGUUAAUUGCUUCUAAUCACUGCUUACAUCCAUCUGGUUUUAUAGUAGACAACAAACCUCUUCAUUGGGCUUGCUCAUUAGACAUACUGUAAAUCACAGCCAUGCGCUGGCGUCUCGCAUAUUGUGCACCUAUUAGUGAAGCUGCGCUUUCCGGUAGCCCAGUGACGACAUCACCUCACAGACCAACGUCUCCAUGUACGGUCAGAUCUACAGGGAGCCGUGGUAAGCUGCUUACCCAGCUGCCCUUGGGACGUAAUGGAAAACUACUGCCCAUUAAGCUCACAAUGAAAAGCUGGUGGAACCGGGGCAACAUGGUGCCUUCUCUGUCACACAGGAAUAGAGGAAGAAACAGUGGGAGGCAUCUUGCUGGUUUUUCUAUCUUCCUCAAAGCUCAAGAGUAAAGCUUCCUUCUACUGUUACCACUGGCAAGCACAUACAAGGACAGAGAUGUAUGAACAAAGAAUCAGGGUUUGAGGAGCUUGAGAGAUGACCUGGCGCUUACACGCCUGUGUUGCUUAUCCAGAAAACCCAACUGUGGCUCCAGUCAGGUUACCACCCUAGUUCCAGGGGAUCUGAUGACUUCGACUGUCCUCUGUGGUAUUGAUAACCCUCAACACACAGCAUUCAACUUGAGUGGAUGUCCAGUCUGAGCUUAGGUGACUGGAUGAGAGUAAAUGAAGAGUAGCCAUUAUUUGCAUGGCUGUAAUUAUGCCAUACCCACAGCAUGAUGGACCUUGCUGCAUUUCCCUUCGGUAGACCUGACAGACUAUAACUGACCUAAUUGAUACCAGAUGACAGCUCAAAUAAGGCUUAAUAAAGAAGUAAUCACAGUCAUCUAAUGAGCAAGCUGUUAUGAUAUUGGCUUAUAGGAAGCUGUUGGGUUUUCUCUUGAGACUACCUCCCAACACACUCCAGAGAUCCAUCCAGAAUACUGUCCUAAAUGUCACUUGUUGGUUUGUUGGAGCCAGAGUCUCAGGGUUUCAUGAUGUAGCAGAGGAUGCUAUGAAACAUGAUGGUUCUCUUCCCUUCGCUUCCCCAUCAUCAGUGUUACAGCCAUGCACCACCAUGCUCAGUGAGAAUCGGCAACUUAGAGUAAGUUUCUCCUGCAUGGUUAAGUUAUUCAUUUGAAUGUGCCAGCAGUUAUAUUUAUUUGUUUCCUAUUUGGGAAUUUACCUUUAUUUAAUUAGGUUUCAUAAUGUAAGCUUUAAAAGUUUUCUAAGUAUAUAAUACUACAAGGACAGACUCUCUUUGUGGCACAGUAGCUCUCCUUUCCUAUGAAUUAUAUGUUGAAUGCCUUAAGAGUUUGUUUCCGUUUUAUCCUUCUAGUGGUUUCUUUGUGAAAGUGAACAGUAACCACGGUGUAAUAUUUCUGCACUUUGCAGUUCCACGGGCAUGUAUGAACAGCCAAGUUUUAUUUCUGGAAGUCCAAAAAACUUUAAAGCAAUAGUCACCUGCUGGGACAUAUGUGACACGAGAGUCAAAGCAUUUCCAUGAGGAGAGACUGACAUGUUGGUUGCCUAAUGACACAAGGCUGGGGGCCAAGCCGGCAGCUCUCGUGAGUGUUGUUAAAUUCAAAAGGGAAAUCACAAAACCUGACCCACUUCCAAUCGCAAACAUCAUCCAUAAAUAUUAUGCAAGCUUUCUUCCUACCCAUUGGUUUGCUUCUUUAUUGAGAUGCCACUCUUUUUAUUCACACUGUGGGCAUGCUAGAGAGAUCAGCUUCCUCAAAGGCAUUGUUUUUCUUAGGUUUCCAAAUCUCAUAUUUUCUGACCAGACUAGUUGUUGUUGUUUUCCAAAUCUGAUAUUUGUGGUAACGUUUAAUUUAAAUCUUUCUCUUAUUUAUUUGUACUCAUGAAGCUGUUAUGAUAGGGGUACACAGGAAAAGGACUUCUCUGUAGAAGGUUUUGCUCUCAGCUUGUAUGCUUCUGAGAGGUGAUUGGGUUACAAGGACACUAACUUUGUCAUUAACCCCCUGAUGAGGCCAUGCAUGGCUUCCUAAAGGACUCCAUUAGAAGUUAUUGCAUUGCUGAGGGUGAAUGUGAGCCUGUGAAAUAUUUACCCUGUGAACUAUCUUCUCUAAACUUCCCACCCCUUGUAAGGUGAGCAGCUCUGCCUUCCCCCUUUCUCUCAGCCAUGAUGCUCUGCCUAUCUACAAACCUACAGUGAUGAGGCCCUAGGUCAAUGCACUGAAGCAUCUAAAGCUGUGAAUCCCAAUAAAUCCUUUCCCUUUAAAUUGAUUUGCCUAGGUAUUUUUAUCACAGCAAUGUGUUGAACAGCAGUUUUCUUGG
rnacentral:sRNA from 1 species